CCUACGGGCGGCAGCAGUGGGGAAUAUUGGACAAUGGGCGAAAGCCUGAUCCAGCCAUGCCGCGUGUGUGAAGAAGGCCUUCGGGUUGUAAAGCACUUUCAGUGGGGAAGAAAGCCUUGGGGCUAAUACCCUCGAGGAAGGACAUCACCCACAGAAGAAGCACCGGCUAACUCCGUGCCAGCAGCCGCGGUAAUACGGAGGGUGCGAGCGUUAAUCGGAAUUACUGGGCGUAAAGCGCGCGUAGGCGGUCGUGAUAAGCCGGUUGUGAAAGCCCCGGGCUCAACCUGGGAACGGCAUCCGGAACUGUCAGGCUAGAGUGCAGGAGAGGAAGGUAGAAUUCCCGGUGUAGCGGUGAAAUGCGUAGAGAUCGGGAGGAAUACCAGUGGCGAAGGCGGCCUUCUGGACUGACACUGACGCUGAGGUGCGAAAGCGUGGGUAGCAAACAGGAUUAGAUACCCGGGUAGUC
rnacentral:rRNA from 1 species